rnacentral:sRNA from 1 species
CCCACGCAGUGAAAUCCAGCAUUUCUUGACUGUCAAUCAACCAUUUUUAAUCCCUGGCCAUUUCUGAUAUAUGACUAGAGAUGCUCACGUGGUUUUGCCUAUGUAGGAGUUUCCAAGCCUAAGAAGUCUGAAACGUUUGCACUCCGCAUGAGGUAUGGAUACUGGAGUUGUAUAAUGGAGCGGCUACAGGAGGGAGAGUCUGAGCAAAACAGAUCAUCGCUAUCCAAAGGGACUGGCUUCCUCCAUGGUCAGACAGCCAUGUCCCCCUCCACAGACAGGGUUAACCAGAGCCACUGCGGAGUCAAGGGUGCAGACCUGACCAGCUAGAUAGGAACUGAUACAUCCUCUUUCUCUCCCUGACCUGCCUGUCACCCAGCCCUAGCAGAGCCACUGCGACAGGGUGGAGCAAUGGCACAGGGCAGGGAAUCCUAGGACCAAACCCAGAGGAGGGAUGGUAGACAAAAUGGUGGACAAGGAUCAAGGAGUGAGCCCAGGAGGGAGAGACGUGAGCAGACGGAAAGGCAAGCUGAAUGAGAACACGUGCUGCUGGGACACCAGUCAUUCCAAACUUCCAUGCCCUCGGCAGGCCUGGCUGUAUCCACGCCAGGGCAGAGGCAGGCAGGGCUCCUAAGACCUUCCAGCUCUGCAGAGGUGGACAAGGCUAAGGUUGAAAGGCAGGAUCUGCCACUGUGUGGCCAGAUCCCCAGUUUCUUUGAACCCUGGUUUCCUCAGCUAUAACAUGGGGUCUCAUCACCUGCCCCACAAGAUUAAUCUGGAGAUUAAACUGCACCAGAGGACACAGAGACGCUGAAAGUCACUAGUCGCUAGGGCUGAUGGAGCCCUGGGAAGGCAGGGGAGGGUGUUCAGAGAGACCAUGGAGCGCCAAGCCCUUGAAAGCCUGGUAUGACCUCUCGUAGUUGUGAGUCUGACUGCAUCAUACCAGGCUGCCAGCUCUCAUAUUCAUUUGUGCCUUGGUCCCCAAGGGCUUGCCUCUUCCCUGGGAGGCUGUGCUCAACCAUGCUUGGAGAAGGCCUGUCCAUCUCCUUGGUGCUGGCAGGAGGCACCCCAUAAAUCAAUCACUAAAUUCCAGGCAGAUGCACACGUUGUUUUGGUUGGAAACCCUGAUCCUCUCUGUGGCUGUGGUGCGACCCGACUCAGGUGAUUCAGUGGGACAGAGGCCUGGAGCUGGUUCCACUAGAGGGUGACGAUAAUAUUUUCUUUCCUGUCUUACCUUGGAGACAGGGUGGGAAUUUUUCCAGCCUUCUAUAUGGGGCCAACGCAAAUGCAGGUUUACUCAGUGAAUAUUUAUAGACCCCAGGGAUCUAGUAACAUGGACUUCAGAGGUCCCCCCCGGGGGAGGGGGGCUCACAGUACACAGUACUCUCCCCAGAACCCCACUGGCCUCACAGCCAGACCAUGGAGGAGGCAAGAGACUAUAUACAUAGCAAAAGAUUGUGACUUAGCUACCUUUGGCUCUGGGUUCAAAUCUCAAGCCUGAUACUUUACCAAACCUCAGCUGAUGUUUCUGCAAACCCGGGGAAGAAACCAAAAAUUUAGGAAGUCCUGAUGUCAGAUUUAAACUACUAUCUAUGAGAUGUUCAGGACUCAGCACAUUUUAAUCAUCUGGAAGAUUACUGAUAUCAAUGUAAUGUUAUGAGUGCUUAGAGAAGGGACACAGCUAACCGAUGUCCCAAAGCAGUGAGAAUUCAGGUGCCUUGAGAAGCAAGAGGUCAGAAUUGAGAUUGGGGCCAAGUAUCAGCCCUCAGGCUUCCUGAAGAUGACCCAGUAAGAAUGAGGAUGUCCAAGUAUGGGGUAGGACAGAGCAGUGAUGUCAGCGCUUUGGUAGUGCUAAAGGACCUCUAAGCCUGGGAGGCUGGUCCUCUACAUCGGUUUGAUGGAUGCUCCUAUCCUGCCCCUCCCUGGGUCUCAGGCUGCUUGGUUCGUUUCUUUCUUUCUCUCCUUCCCAUUUCCCUCCUUUGCAUUUUACUCUGCGGCUCAGGAUGGCUUCAAACACAUGACAACGCUUCCCUGAGAACUAGCUUCAAGGGCACCACACACAGCUUAGGUCUCUGCUUGUCAUUACAGACCCAGGGGUGGGUGGCAGGCUUUCUGGGGUCCCCAGCUUUCUUCUGGACAGAGUCUAGAUCUAAACUUGCUAGCACGUGAGUGUCUGGAAUCCUACAGUGACACAGCCAUUCACCAAGCAUGUGCUCUGUAUAAAAAACACUGAGCAUUUGACUUAAACAGUCUCCUUACCCCUCCGCACGCCCCCAGAAGGUGUCCUGUCACUGUGCCAUUGUGUAAAGAAGAGAAUUAAGUAACACCGUUGUCAAGGUAGAACCAGGAUUUGAAACCAGGCUGACGCUACCCUGCUGUCCCUCUCAUACCUACGCAUACACCCGCAUCACAUGCAUGGUCCUGCCUGUGCUCAGGCAGCUCCCAGAGACUGAGCUCAGCUGACUAACGGCAUGAGGAGAGGAGGCAAAGGCAGGGCAGAGGGGUGAGCUCAGCAGGGCUUCACUGAGAAGGCGAGAGGAUGUGCUUGUGAAUGCUGUCGCUUUGUCCUAGGUUCAAAUCCCAAGCCUGACAUUUCUGCUGAGUAUCCACUGACACCUCUACACACGAGCUCUACCCCUUUGUCCUUAGAGGGGUCCCUAGAUGCUAGUUUGUCUGCUGGCAGCCUCUAGGUAGCCAGUUACUUGGCUCUCCGCCCCAGCCCAAAUGCCUACCCUCCCCAGCUGAACACUUGUGACUCUUAGGAAAGGUUUUUACCUUUGUGAGCCUGUCUGCUCAUUUGUGACAUGGAGCAUGAACCCUCCACCUCAGAGUUGUCCAGAGGACACAGUGCCUGCUCCAGGAGCUCAUGGGAUAUCAAGAUACCAUAUGUUAUACAUGCUGUGCAAACUCUUUCUCACCCAUCAGAAGCCGAUCCAAUGGCCACCUGUCACAGCUUCUUCUGACUACUACAAAUGGCCGGUACCUUCUCUGUUCCUAUAGCACAUGGUUCACCCUACAGCUAUUGCCCUCUCCCUACAGACUCCGGGCUGCUUGGGGCUGAUGUUAAGACAGUUUGCCUUGGGACCCUCAGAACCAGGUCUGGCUCAGAGCAGAUGUUCAGGGGACAUUCACAGCAACAAUGGGUGACAUAGGCGUGGAUGGCCCUAAGGCCCUCUUUGUUCUCCAGGGCACCCUGCCAUCCGCUUCCCUUCUCUUUCCUAUGGCAGGGCAUCUGCUCCAACACACAUUCUGGGCGAGCCCAAGGCACAGAGAAGUGAAGCAGAGAGUGUCCGCAUGGCUUCCCCACCAGCCACCGUUCCAGAGGAGGCAAGGCUCAGGCAUGUACCGGGAGGGUGGGGUCUGUCACAGUCACAUACCCACCUGCUCAGCCAUCAUUGUAGAGCCAGGCCAGGGUACCAAAGCUGACUGUUCAAAGAGAUAAAAGGCCGGGAAACAAGAGAAUACAAGGGAGGGAUGGGAAAAGAGGAGAAGGAAAAAAUAAUUUUUGAAAAAAAAAGGGGUUCUUUUGGUGUUUGUUUUCAAAGCCACUGACGAAAACCAGAUUUGAAGUUUGGGGUAAAAAGGGAUUUGGGCCUUUCAAAUUCCACUCUCCACUAAUUGACUGCAGUUUCUCUUGAAAGAGCCCUCAGCUCUUCAGAACAAUCAGCAGCCCAGCUGGGCCUCUGCAGCCAGCAGCAGCCUGGCUCCAGAGGGUCGCCCUUGCUAUGUGAGUACCAAGUGACACAGGCCGUUGGACAGAUGGAGGGACAGGCAGGGGUGAAGGACUCUCAAAAGGCACACUUGGAGCCACAUGGGAAGGCCAGGUCAGGAGUCACAUCUAGGCUGCCUGCCUGCCUCCCAGUGCUUGCUCUGUCCUUGGCUGCCUGCCCCUCACGGUGCUUGUGGCUUUCCAGGACAGUAGUGAGCCACGAUGGAUUCAACAGGAGGCUGUAGUGUAGGUUUUCUGUUAGCAACAUACGAGGGUAGGUAUGUUGCUCUUCCCACAUUGUAGCAUACUGACGGCAUCUCCACCUCUCCUCCAGCCAAGUCAAAAGUACCCCCAGCUCAGGCCCUGCUAAUCCUUCCUUACACAGUGUGCACCAUUUUGUAACAGCUUUCUUUGUAGCAAUUCAGAAGCAAACAUUCCUGUUCCCUCUCCACAUAGGGAGAAGCUUAGAUCCAAAGGCCCUCAGCUCCCACAACCCAGUGCUGGGACAAUCCAAGGACUUGUCAUGGGCAGUUCAGACUGUCUCAUGUCAACUCCCGACCCUCAGCCCAGGCAGCUGAGGAAUGAGGCAAAGCCACUUGCCUACUCAGGGGUCCAGUCCUAGCUGUGAGUGGCCCUUCCCAGGCCCCACCCACCCACCAUGUUAAAAAGUAGUCCUGGGAAAAGCUAGCUGUCCCUCCCCAAGUAGCCAAUGCUAUUUUUCUCAGCAGAGGCUGGCUCCUUCUCUUUUCAGUGCCCACACCUAGCCCCGGAGGUGGCCUCCACUGCUGCCCUGGAGUGUGCUCUCCCCGUUCCUGGCCCAGCCUCUCUUCCUUCUACCCUGUAGACAACGGCUCCUGUGCAUGAGCUGCCUCAGUGAACGGAUGGUUUUCUCAAUGCAGAAUCUCAGUGCCCGCUGGGAGAGCCCUGAGGUCCUGCAAUGUUCAGACAGCAGGGGAGUUGGAGGUAUAGGGAGGACCAGGGUGUCCAACUGGGUGAUCCUUCUCUAGUUCUUGGGCUCCUCAUUGAGAAGACAAGGUUGGACACUGUCUUUUCAGACAUUUGUGGACAGGGUCUUCUGGCCCCUUGGGGAUGGCGUUGUCAUAGUGACCCUUGAAGAUGAGGGCUGAGGUGAUUAUGAAGCCCCAGAGAGGCGGGGCCUUGGUAGCAGAGGGCUAACAGCAUCCUUGGCACAUCUUUUUGACACAGUGCUCUUCUUGAGCUUCUGGGAAGGAAGAGCUGGGUCUCAGAAGGUGCGAGGGAGUGACCAGUGACUGGUGGCCCCUGGCUCAACCGGCCGAAGGCAGUCAUCAGCAUGAUCCUAUUGCCACCAUAAUUACAAACACCAGCAGCACAGCUGCCCAGAGCUAAGCUGCCGUGCUUGGAUGGAGGGAACACGGAGUCCAGGUAACACACAGUUCAUCGCAGAGCUGUUCUUGGGGCAUAGAAUAGGCUGCACUCAAGUAAGAGCUCCGUAAAUGCCAGCGAUUGACUGAGCAACAAAAGUCCCGGCCACAGUGGUUUCUUUCUGUGCCCGUGGCUUACACAUCACACAAACACCAAGGUGUCCCCAGGCAUGCUACCUGCCAGGAACCCACAACAGGGUCCUACAAGACAGUGAACUAAUAUCCAGAUGCAUACAAGUCAGAGCUCCAAGUCCCAGGCUGGAGUGGAAGGACCGCACCAUUCAUGCUACAGUACCAUGUUAAGCCGCUUCGAGGUGACCCUACAGAGUACUGCUGUCAUCUCCACGGCUCUCAGAGGAGAAAUCAGGGCUCAGAGAAACUAAGUAACCUCAACAAAGGGGUAAUUGAACUGGGAUUUACCUUGAGUCUACUUGGCUCCUUCUAAGUCAUUUUCAAUCAAAGCAUUAAUGAAUGGGGCGAAGUGGACGCCAGGCGAGCAUUGCAGGGAGGCUAGCACGUGCACAGGCUGUUGGGUGGGCCUUCUGGCUAGCACUUGUACAGCAAGGAUGUGGGAGAUCCUGCCAAACUUAGCCACUCUGGAAGCUUGGAGCACUGAGAAACACGGGUGAAAGUGCA